UUGAUACUUUUGUAUCCUCUCAAACAAUGCAAUAGUUCUCGACAAUUUCGCUUUAGACAUCGAGUCCAUAACCUCGGAGAUUAGUGACCCUACUACGUAACAUAGUAGUAGAGCCGUGAUAGCCCAGUGGAUAAUACCUCUGCCUCUGAUUCGGAGGGUGUGGGUUCGAAUCCGGUCCCGGGCAUGCACCUCCAACUUUUCAGUUGUGUGCAUUUUAAGAAAUUAAAUAUCACGUGUCUCAAAUGGUGAAGGAAAACAUCGUGAGGAAACCUGCAUACCAGAGAAUUUUCUUAAUUCUCUGUGUGUGUUAAGUCUACCAAUCCGCAUUGGGCCAGCGUGGUGGACUAAGGUCUAAUCCCUCUCAUUCUGAGAGGAGACUCGUGCUCAGCAGUGAGCCGAAUAUGGGUUGAUAACGACUACGUAACAUAAAGGAACGUUAAUUAUGUUAUGAGGCUUAAUACUUUUGUAUCCUCUCAAUACCCAGCUUGUACUUCGUUUAGCCUAAUGCAGCAGUAACACAAUGCUCCUCGCGCUGCCACAAGUGGCGUAAAAUGUGGCACGAAGAGUAACUGGCCACACGACGUCUCUGCCUACUUCCCUCGCUAAUUUCCGCGACAUUCGUGUAGUGUGUGACGUAAGAUUCGUGCCACAAUAUAUUUGUCUACGUUUGUCUUACACAUACCAUCACGGCGACUAAACGGUGGAAUUCAUAGUCGUAGUAGGGGGCCCCUAAGGGGAUUAUUCAGCCGCUAUGUGUCGAAUUUAACCCCUACGCGUUUCAUAGACAAAAGAAACCCCUCAUUUGACAGGAGCUGGCGGCUGACUGCUGAAUUACCGAUAUUUGUCAGCCAAACCAUCCCCUGGCAUUUUUUUUUUGUUGUUAUUCGUGAUUUAUUUAUUAGAAAGUGGACGUUCGGAUCGUUAUAAAUGAAGUUAUAAACAGCGAGUUAUAUCAGUGCGAUAUAUAUUCGCAAUUGUGUAAACCCAGUAUAAUACUAUGGCGAUAUGGAAUGUACGAAAGUACUCAUAUUAGGCAUAAUAUGCCUCUGUUUGAUGAAGAAUGAACACAGAAGACCAAGAGAGGAAUACCAAUACCGCUAGUAUUAUACAUUCUAGCAGCACUUCGAUUCUAUGAAACGGGAUGUUAUCAGACUGUAGGUGCAGUCCAUCAAGCAUUCUAUGAAAUAACAUAAAUGCCAAAAGUCAAGCUGUACUGAUGUCACGCAUAGGUAUACAUAUAAACAACCCCGGAGGACCCUAUACACAGAUUUAAAGAAACCGGCUAUCAUGGCAGGGAAUAGCAGUGAUGAGCUCUGAGAAUACUGUUUUACCAAGAAUACUGAGAAUACUUUGGUUCUUGAAAAUCUGAGUUUUCAGAUCACAGUAAUUGGAAGACCCACAUACCUUGAAAAGUCAGCAGCAUUUAAUAUCAAGGUAGUAGGAGUGAGUGCAGUAUGUUGUAAGGUGGUCACUCACUCUGAAGUCCAUAACAAUAGAAAAUGUAUACAAAUCUUAAUUGAAUGAAAUUUAUUGAUUCACAUCUUUAAUAAAGAUAAUUAUUAAAUGUUUA